AUGACGGAUGGCGGCCAAGACAGCGAACUUGCUGCUCUCGAGAAAGUGUUGCUCGACGAAAAUGCCGAUCCUGUCGAUCUGCCUUUCUCGCUUCUCAAGGCUAUCACAGGAAACUUCUCUGAAGAUAAUGAAAUUGGCAGCGGCGGGUUCGGAGCGGUUUACAAGGGAGUGCUUCCAAGUGGUCGCACUGUCGCCGUGAAGCGGCUCUUCGAGAGGUACGAGAUCCUGGACAAGAAUUUCGAGAGCGAGGUCACCUGUCUCGCGGUGGUCAGGCACAAGAAUACCGUGCGAUUUCUCGGGUACUGCUCUGAAACGCAGCAAGUACUGAUGCCAUAUGACGGGAAGCAUGUCUUGGCAGACGUGCGGCAUAGGCUGCUCUGCUUCGAGUACAUGCCCAAAGGGUGCCUUGCUGACUAUCUCUCGGAUGCAUCUUGUCAACUUCAAUGGACCACAUGUUACCAAAUAAUCAAGGGCAUCUGUGAGGGCGUACAUUAUCUUCAUCAACAACGUAUUAUUCACAUGGACCUCAAACCUCAGAAUGUACUAUUGGAUGAUAACAUGGUGCCCAGAAUUGCGGAUUUCGGUCUAUCACACCGCUUAAGUGGGAGCCAGAGUCGGGCUAUUACUGAAAACAAGCUUGGGACGAUGGGAUAUAUGGCACCAGAAUUCUUAAAUAAUGGAGAAAUUACCUGCAUGGCAGACAUAUAUAGUUUGGGCGUUAUAAUCAUGGAGAUCCUUAUGAGACAUAAGGAAUGCUCUAAUGUUGAGGAGGUAGUUGAAAGUUGGGCAAACAAGUUCGGGGUAUCAGAGAGCCAGACAACAUUGGAACAAGUAAAAGUAUGUGUUGAGAUAGGGAUAAAAUGCAGGAACUAUGACCCAAGGAAUAGGCCUGCUACAUGGUUUAUCAUUCGUGGAAUACUGGGUGAAGCGGAAAUUUCAAACUGGUCUAUUACAAGUGAUGUAGCUACCUCGACAGAAGGGCAGAUAGGCUUUGCCUCCAAGUUGGUGGAUGAAUUGAAGUUCAUGGAUGAUUCCGCUGCAGCAUCCGAACUGCAGCCAUCAGUGCUGGAGGUAGAGCAGGAGGAUGGCAAAGUGAGCCUAGAGAGUAAGGGGAAGGCAACAACAGUGAUUGUGGCGACUGGGGUGAUGAGCACCCUCAGUGCCAAGCUUGCCAAGCUCAUGGGUGACGAGUACAUUAAACGCAAAGAGGUGAGGAAGCAGGCGUCCUUCCUCAAGAAGGAGUUGAGCACCAUAAACGCUGUCCUUGAGCAGCUGGAGCUCAUGGAUGAGCUCGCUCCAGCAGUAAAAAAUUGGAGGGAUGAUGUCAGGGAGAUCUCCUAUGACAUGGAGAAUUGCAUUGAUGACUUCAUGCGCCAAUUUGGAGGUGAGGAUGCUGAAGCAAGCUUCACCGGGGAGGCUGCUGAACUUCACAAGAGGUUGUGCGAGCUUCAUAGGAUUGCCAACCAGAUGGAAGAGCUCAAGACUCUUGUGGUAGAAGCAAAUGCUCGACGUGAGAGCUACAAGAUUGAUGAUUGCAAGCCUAGCUUUGUGGGUGUCGACCCUCGGCUGUCAGCAGUCUACCAGGAGGCAACUAGCCUUGUGGGCAUUGACGGCCCAAGGGAGGAGGUUGCCAAUUGGUUGAUGGAUACUCAGAAAAAACUCAAGGUUGUGUCUGUUGUUGGUUUUGGAGGUCUGGGUAAAACUACACUUUCCAAACAGGUAUAUGAUAAGAUCAGGGGGCAUUUCAACAGUGUGGCAUUCAUUUCAGUUUCACAGAAGCCUGAUAUGAGAGUGCUUCUCAGUCGCCUACAAUUGAAAGUUGGGAUAAGUGUGUCUUCUCAUGAUUGCGGGUUUGAAGACAUCAUUGAAGAGCUAAGGAAGUAUCUCGUAGAUAAAAGGUACCUUAUUGUACUUGAUGACUUGUGGGAUCAAUCAGCAUGGAAUACUAUUAGUCUUGCUUUUCCAGAAAAUGGAAAUGGGAGUAGAAUAAUAGUAACGACACGAGUGGAAGAUGUGGCUAGUGUGGCCUGUCACAAUGACCGUAAGUGCAUUUACACAAUGAAGCCCCUCAAUGAACAGAAUUCAAGAAUGUUAUUCUCGAACAGAGUAUUUGGGUCUGAAGUUGUUUGUCCACCUUAUCUUAAAGACGUUGCGGCUGAAAUUCUGAAGAAGUGUGGCGGAUUGCCUCUUGCAAUUAUCACUAUAGCUAGCCUAUUAGCUACUCAAGUGAGGUCAAGGAAACACUGGGAGAGCAUAAGGAAAUCUCUGGGUGCCCAAUCUGCCACAAGUCCUUCAUUGAAAGAGAUGAAUAACAUAUUAAACCUUAGCUACACGCAUCUUCCUCUUCAUCUCCGGGCAUGUUUUUUGUACCUUGGUAUGUAUCCUGAGGACCACAUUAUAUGGCGGGAUCAUCUUGUUAGACAAUGGAUAGCUGAAGGCUUCGUCAGCAGUUUACAUGGGUCAGAUUUGGAGGAUAUUGGCAGGAGUUAUUUCAAUGAGCUCAUCAAUAGAAGUAUGAUUCAGCCAUCAAAAACUGAGUAUGGAGAGGUGUUGUCUUGCACAGUACAUGACAUGAUGCUUGAUUUGAUCCUAAUCAAGUGUGUAGAAGACAAUUUUCUAAGUGUGGCGUACAAUUCUGAGGACAUGGCAAGACUGAUGCAUGGCUGCAAGUACAAUGUUCGCAGAUUAUCCCUGAGCUCCAUGGCUAUUGGUGGAGCAACAUAUGAGUAUGAUAUGGCUAUUGCUGCUAGACUGCCACAAGUUCGAUCAUUUAUAUUGUUUGAGAAUCCCAUACCACCUUUUUUGUGGUUCAAGUAUCUCAGGGUGCUCAUCAUUGUUAGGGGAAAGGAUACAGUUGACCUCACUGCCAUUAGCCAACUGUUUCAGCUGAGGUGUGUGAUGGUUAGAGUCGAUGGGAAAAUAGAGCUCCCUACUGAACUUGGUAAGCUUGUUUACUUGGAGACGCUGGACAUACAGAAAUGCAGGCUGGUAAAGAGCAUCCCUUCAGAUAUAGUUCAUUUGCCCCGCCUGUCCUAUCUGGGUCUUCCAAAUUGUACAGACCCGCCGGAAGGUAUCGAGAAUAUGAAAUCACUGCGCACUCUGCAAGAGUUUGACCUGGAAAAGAUCUCCCUGAAGUAUAUUAUGGAUCUCAGCAAGCUGACCAAUCUGAGGGAACUGAGUGUGAAAAAAGAGUUCAGUUUGGGGACGCAAAAAGUUGAUGCUUUGGCCUUGUCCAUUGGAAAGCUCCGUAACCUCGAAUGUCUGCGCAUCUUUGGUUGCCAUCUUGAGAGUGAGAACCUGCAGCUGGGCUCAUUAUCCAAUCCUUUUCAACAUAUGGAGCGACUUUGCAUGAGAACAUGGUGGUUCUGCAGAGUUCCGAAAUGGAUGGAUGGUCUCCAUUGUCUGCGCGUCCUUGAGCUGCAGGUUGAGGAGACGUCAACUGAGGAGAUUCAUCUUCUUGGAGAGCUUCCCUCCCUCGUCUACCUCAACUUUGGAGCGGGUAAAAUCCCUGCUGAAAGAGCUAUAUUAGGCACAGGACUAUUCCUAGUUCUGGAGUAUUUUUAUUGUAGUUCUCGGAAAGACAUUACAGCGUACCUGGGGUUCGAGGCAGGGGCUAUGCCCAACUUACGAAUCCUCUGUCUCAGUGUGGUGCAUUGGGGUGGUACCAUACCAGUCGGCAUGGAGCACCUGUUACACCUCCAGGAGAUCCGACUUGACGGGGCCUCUCAUGAUGUUGUGUGCGCGUUCAAGGAGGCUUCGCUGGUGCACCCAAACCGCCCUUCCGUUAGUAGGUAA
rnacentral:rRNA from 1 species